rnacentral:pre_miRNA from 1 species
AAAAAGACAAACCCUAAAUUUUCAUGUCCAAUUUUAACUGUCCGUCUUAUAUGAAAUUUUUUUAUAAUUCGUAUUUUUAUUGUUGUUAGAUGAUAAAACAUGAUUAAUAUUUUAUGCGUGACUUGUCUUUUUAAUUUUUUUUAUAAUUUUUUCAAAUAAGACGGACGAUCAAACGUUGGGUAUGGAAACCAGGGUUUAUCUUUUU